UGACCAGAUAGAAAGAUGUUGUCCAGGUGUAUUGACCAGAUAGACAGAUGUUGUCCAGGUGUAUUGACAUGAUAGACAGAUGUUGUCCAGGGCGUCUGUAUUGACAUGUUAGAGAGAUGUUGCCCAGGUGUAUUGACCAGAUAGACAGAUGAUGUCCAGGUGUAUUGACAUGUUAGACAGAUGUUUUCCAGGUGUAUUGACAUGUUAGAGAGAUGUUGUCCAGGUGUAUUGACAUGUUAGAGAGAUGUUGUCCAGGUGUAUUGACAUGUUAGACAGAUGUUGUCCAGGUGUAUUGACAUGUUAGACAGAUGUUGUCCAGGUGUAUUGACAUGUUAGACAGAUGUUUUCCAGGUGUAUUGACAUGUUAGACAGAUGUUUUCCAGGUGUAUUGACAUGUUAGAGAGAUGUUGUCCAGGUGUAUUGACCAGAUAGACAGAUGUUGUCCAGGUGUAUUGACAUGUUAGAGAGAUGUUGUCCAGGUGUAUUGACAUGUUAGACAGAUGUUGCCCAGGUGUAUUGACCAGAUAGACAGAUGUUGUCCAGGUGUAUU